UACGUAGGGGGCUAGCGUUGUUCGGAAUUACUGGGCGUAAAGCGCGCGCAGGCGGUUUUCCAAGUCAGGGGUGAAAGCCCGGAGCUCAACUCCGGAAAUGCCAUUGAAACUGUAAAACUUGAGUACGAGAGAGGUGAGUGGAAUUCCCAGUGUAGAGGUGAAAUUCGUAGAUAUUGGGAAGAACACCGGUGGCAAAGGCGGCUCACUGGCUCGUAACUGACGCUCAGGCGCGAUAGCGUGGGGAUCAAACAGG
rnacentral:rRNA from 1 species